CACAUAAAAUGUAACGGUUUUUUCUAUUGAAAGUUAAGCGUCUUGAUCCCUCUAGAAACCCCAAGACGAAUACUCUGUCAAGAAUCCCACAAGCAGCAACAACUACGCACCACCAACUUUUUUCGAGGAUCUCUCUCGAAUAGCUAGCUCCGACUUUUAGCAGCUAUAAUCUCUCGUGUUCGAUUUAUUUAUUAAUACACUUUAUAAUUCAACCUUUUACUUUCCUAGUUUAUAAAUUAGCAUUUUUUUAUCUGAGUGCACGCAGAUGUUAAGUGUUAAUUAAUUAAAUUAAUUUAUCCUAAUUAAAUUGUGAUUGCCGUCCAACUACUCCAGGUUCACGUGAGUUUAUCUAUAAGUAUACACCCUAGCGUUC